rnacentral:piRNA from 1 species
UGGCAUCGUCUGUGCUUGAGGUGAAC